AAAUUGAUCUGAAAGAUCCACAUUCCCAUAAAAACACAGAUAUUUAACACUCAAAGCUGAAAUAAACUUAACCAUCUUUAUUCAAUACUCCUGGGUGACUUCAUUUAUUACAGAAUGUAAAACAAGUCUUCACUUUUCUCCGCCUUUUAUUAACAAUACAUAAAGGGGCGGGGAUGGGUGACAGGCAGCGGUAACAAAAAUACAUAAUUAGCAAUGACCAAUGAGUCACGUUAUUGCUUGAAUUUGAAUCAGUAUGUUUUACAUACAAUAAAAGCAAGGAUGUUAACAAAAAAAUAAGUCAAUAUACUGGCAAAUUAGUGAUAUUUUCACAGUUAUGGUCUUG